rnacentral:rRNA from 1 species
GGUGUCAGUGGUAGGAGAGCGUUCUAAGGGCGUUGAAGCUAGACCGUAAGGACUGGUGGAGCGCUUAGAAGUGAGAAUGCCGGUAUGAGUAGCGAAAGAUGGGUGAGAAUCCCAUCCACCGUAUGCCUAAGGUUUCCUGAGGAAGGCUCGUCCUCUCAGGGUUAGUCGGGACCUAAGCCGAGGCCGAAAGGCGUAGGCGAUGGACAACAGGUUGAUAUUCCUGUACCACCUCUUUAUCGUUUGAGUGAUGGGGGGACGCAGGAGGAUAGGGUAAGCGCGCUGUUGGAUAUGCGCGUGUAAGCAGGUAGGCUGAGAAGUAGGAAAAUCCGCUUCUCGUGAAGGCUGAGCUGUGAUGCCGAGGGAAAUAUAGUACCGAAGUUCCUGAUUCCACACUGCCAAGAAAAGCCUCUAGCGAGAUAAAAGGUGCCCGUACCGCAAACCGACACAGGUAGGCGAGGAGAGAAUCCUAAGGUGAGCGAGAGAACUCUCGUUAAGGAACUCGGCAAAAUGACCCCGUAACUUCGGGAGAAGGGGUGCUCUUUGGGGUGAAUAGCCUCGAAGAGCCGCAGUGAAUAGGCCCAGGCGACUGUUUAGCAAAAACACAGGUCUCUGCGAAGCCGCAAGGCGAAGUAUAGGGGCUGACGCCUGCCCGGUGCUGGAAGGUUAAGAGGAGGGGUUAGCGCAAGCGAAGCUCUGAAUUGAAGCCCCAGUAAACGGCGGCCGUAACUAUAACGGUCCUAAGGUAGCGAAAUUCCUUGUCGGGUAAGUUCCGACCCGCACGAAAGGCGUAACGAUCUGGGCACUGUCUCAACGAGAGACUCGGUGAAAUUAUAGUACCUGUGAAGAUGCAGGUUACCCGCGACAGGACGGAAAGACCCCGUGGAGCUUUACUGUAGCCUGAUAUUGAAUUUUGGUAUAGCUUGUACAGGAUAGGUAGGAGCCUGAGAAGCCGGAGCGCUAGCUUCGGUGGAGGCGUCGGUGGGAUACUACCCUGGCUGUAUUGAAAUUCUAACCCGC